CCUACGGGAGACAGCAGUGGGGAAUAUUGCACAAUGGGGGGGACCCUGAUGCAGCGACGCCGCGUGAGUGAAGAAGUAUCUCGGUAUGUUAAGCUCUAUCAGCAGGGAAGAAAAUGACGGUACCUGACUAAGAAGCCCCGGCUAACUACGUGCCAGCAGCCGCGGGAAUACGUAGGGGGCAAGCGUUAUCCGGAUUUACUGGGUGUAAAGGGAGCGCAGACGGCUGUGCAAGUCUGGAGUGAAAGGCGGGGGCCCAACCCCCGGACUGCUCUGGAAACUGUAAAGCUGGAGUGCAGGAGAGGUAAGCGGAAUGCGUAGUGUAGCGGUGAAAUGCGUAGAUAUUAGGAGGAACACCGGUGGCGAAGGCAGCUUACUGGACUGCAACUGACGUUGAGGCUCGAAAGCGUGGGGAGCAAACAGGAUUAGAUACCCGAGUAGUC
rnacentral:rRNA from 1 species